rnacentral:lncRNA from 1 species
UGGGCCUCUCAUGGGGGUGCUCAUUGUGGUUUAAGUCAGCUUUGAUUCUUGACCUCCAAGGCUGCCUCUGAGUAGCUAACCGGAGAAUCGGGUGGGGAGGUGAAAAACACCGCAGUCAAAUGACUCAAUCUUUAAUCCUGUGCUUAAGACACCACUGUUGCUGUUUUUUAUAUUUGAAGCACCCAAAGACUGGGCGUCCGCUCAGCCUUGAUGAGCGAGCAGCUAUUUUGUCAGGCCAUCUAUGAUGUUGGGAUAAUGGACAAAGGCCUGAUUGGGCCAUAUAUGGCCUUCUUUAGGGCCUCCUGGAGGUGGAGGAAGUUGUGGGUAAUUUCUAAUAAAGACGGGAAAUGACAAGCCGUGUGUGUAGGUAAAGUCCUAACUUAAAAGGAAGGACAGGCCUAGGGAAGGGUGGACCCUAAAGGGCCCAUGUGCCAGGGGAACAGUGGACAUGUGUGUCCAGCCCAACCUCCAUGUCUGGUGCUGGGAUUCUGAAGGUGGCCCCCAGCUCCCAAAAUAAAGCUUUCCUUUUCAGUAGCGUCCGACACUUGGGUAGCUUCUUUCUAUAAGCAAUGCUUGAAGAUGGACGUCUGGGUCCUCAUUUCCUCCAAACUGGCUGCUACCUGAAGGCAGUCACACAUUUCUUUUCUGUUGGGCUGAGCUGGGCAGAAGCCUCGGACUAUAGGCCUUUCCAGGGCAGAGGCAAUGCGGGCCACGAGUAGAUACCUCCAUCCAGCCUCCACCCUGGCACACCCAGAACGGCGUGGACUCAGGCGGGUUGCUGGAUUUCUCUGAGCCUUGGCGUGCUCUACACUGCAGGGCUAUACAUGUUCCCAGCUUGAGGGCGUGCUGGGGAUUGACAAAUAUAUGAAACAUAUAAGCGCAAUGAUUUUCUAAAAUUGUGCAUUCCCAGCGUGCCCAUUGGUUCUCUCUCGCUGGCCCAACUUUGUGUGCUGUCCAUAAAUCCCUUUCUGUGGACGGUGACAGUAGGAUUGGGAGUGAGUGGGAAGAUUGUGGAAAGAUUGCAAAGAGGUCAUUGCAGGACUCAGACAGACCUUGCAGUGGGUUUCAGAGUAAUACUCAGGUUCUCCCAUGGAACUUUCAAAGCUGGCUCUAAGAAAGAUGAAGAGGACAAACCCACUCCUGGACAUAGUGCCAACCUAGAACUGUCAGCUCCACACAGGAUCACAGGGAAGGGAGCUUGGUAAGACAGCCCAGUAGGGGGCCCUGCUUUUCAGAAGAGGAAACUGGAGCCAUGCAAGGGCCUGGGGAUCAACUUAGAAAAGAGCACAGGACUCACAGUCCUGGGCCUGCACGUAAAGCUAGCCCCCUGCCCCACGGAAAUGGCAAGCAGUGCUUCCCUCCAGGGGUUCUACAUCUGUGCUCCAUCUCAAAAUGCAUAAAAGCCUGAGUCAUUCAGAUGGGAGAGACAGUGUUUCUACUUCCUCUUAGUUGGGGUUCCUCCAGAAGGAGACCCUGAGAGAGGACUUGAGGUUAUGUAGUUUAUUUGAGUGAAGAUCCCGGAAGUAGGGAGAGAAGGAAGCUGACGGGGAAGGCGUGCAUUAUCAAGUAAGUUACCGUCAUGUGCACAACUGGAGCUGAAUCCCACCGGGGAACCCCGAGAGACAGAGCUGACACCCCAGAGUUCACCCAGCAAGGCGGGGAGACAGCUGGGGUAUUUAUUCACCAAGUCUAUCACUUAUGAAAGGCUGUUUCUGGAAACAAUUUCUGACUGGCCCUGCACACACCUGAGCAUACUUCCUAAGCCGGGGAUGUCCCUGAGCUGAGACAGGCGUUCGUGACAAGCAGACUUCGAGUGGAAGGCAGGCAUCAGAACCACCCUGUGAGCUGGUUCAGACAAAGAUUGCAGGCCCUUCCACCCCCCUGGCCCCGCCAAGUUCCUGACUCCCUAGGUCUGGAGUGGGGCCCGGGAAUUUGCAUUUCAAAAAAUCUCGAGGUGAUGCUGGUGCAGCUGCUCUGAAGUCUUGACUUUGAGAACCACUCACUAGUGAGAGUUUCCAGCCCUUACCUGUCUCUUAUUGAUGGCUUUCCCCCCUCUAAUUUAUAAUUAUGCUUUCACACCACUUCAUGUCACAGAUCCCAGGGUCCGUGCUGUGAAUUUAAAAGUGGAGAAUUAAUAAGCAUUUAUAACUCCAUGCAACCAUUGCUGGCAGCUUAAAUGCCAUCUGCCAGCCAUAAUUUAUUUAUAAUGGGGUUUAUACAUAUUUAUAAGUUUGCAAGCAACAAAUGCACAGUUUUAAAACUGGCACAUUUUAUAGCAGCCAGAAAAAUUGCAACUUUAUACCAGGACUUGUGAAUGUGAAUUGCAUAUGUAUAUACAUAUACGCAUAUACUUACAUUGAUUAAAAACGGAUCUGCAUCUCUGUACACACGCAGAUUGGCUCUGUGUUGUGCACCUUGGGACUCCUCCCUGGGCUUUGGUUUUACAGCUAAGUAGGAAGUCAAACAAACGUGAAGAAUUUGGGAAUUGGCAGGCUGUGGCAUCAGCCAUGGAGGAUGGUCCUGGAUGCUGUAGGAUGUGAGAUCCAGCACAAAGAGAACAAGAACAGGACAUGAGGACCACAGGGAUUGGGGGAACCCACUGUGGGAAAUGACAGAGAAGCCAGUGGGGGAAGACAAAGAAAGAAGAAGGUGGAGGCAGAAUAAAGGUGAGAAGAAGGGAAGGGGAGGAUAAAACAAGUCCAGAUUUAGAUCUUCCUUCAUGCAGCCAUGCAUAGCUGUCUGAGGCCAGCAGGGAAGGAGGAGAAAGGGAAGGUGUGGUGGAGGAGGCUGUGCUCGUGAUGUCAUGCUUUCGUGUAUUCCCAGGUGCAGCUGCAUAUACUUGGCACAGUUUCUUGGGAUUUCUAGCCAGUUUCUUGGCCUCAUUUGUGCAUUAGUUAAUAUGUGGCUGGCCCUGUACUGGGAUGGUGGGAUAGAGAAGUGAAUGUAUGAGGCCUCUGCCUGAGUUUAUAACCUAGAAAGAAAUAAAGACACACACACACAAAGGUGUUGGAGUGUGACAAGCCUUAAGGUACCCGUGUGUCCAAGUAAAGUAGAACCAGCAAGGGUGGAGUGCCCAGGUCAGUCUGGGGACUCUGGAGGCUUCGCACUGCAGGCGUCAGAUACUGAGUGUUAGUGGCACGGAGAAGAGUGUGGAAGGCUCAGGAUGGGGGUGGACAGCCUGGAGUUGUCACUCUCAGUAGAGAUGCUAGAAGGGGCGGGAGGUGAUCCCAGCCUCCCUUCUUUCCUCCUCCUGGCUGUCACAGAUGCUCUGAAUUGAUGAAUCCUUCAGGCCAAAAACACACAGGCUCCUUCCCUAGGUCUGGAAAAAUGGUUCUCGCUGAAAAAGCACCAGGAAUAAAAUCUCAUACAAUUUUAGGUGUCUAUUUUGUUGUCUCACCUUGAAAUACUGCAGACAGAAAAACAUGCACAUGGGGAGCUGUGGUCCUGAGCUUUGAGGUAAUGAAUUCCCACUCAUGUGAUCAUUUUUACCAUAACCAAAGUUUCUAACCAUCAAAAUCAAGUGACAAUUAAAACAGGCAUUAAUGGAUAAAUCCGUCUUUAAAUAUUAAUGGGGUUAAUUUUGUUAACAGCUAUGUGUUGGUUGCAAGUGGAAUGUUCUCUGUUCAUUUGACUUUUGAAUAUAACUUGUUCCAGAAUAUUGUAAAAUUAAGUAUGUGAAUGUUUCUUUGUAUUCAGAAUUAAACAUUUGGUGUUAAAAUCCCAGGAUUAGGAGACAACUCCAUGUAAAUUUAAUGUGUAAUAAUAAGAUAAUAACUUUUUAAAAAGCAUUUGGAUGGCAAAUUAUACAUACUGACAAAUGAAUAUUAUCUGAAAGUUGUUUUGUUUCCAUUAACUUUUGUGAAACAAAAAGAAUUACUGUAACAGUCUAUGUCUUGGCGUAUUGCCAAUUCACCACUUUCUACUUUGUGCUGGAACAGAACUGGCUUUUUUGACAUCCCUGAGGAGUGGAAAUGCAAAACGAAUUUCAAGUUCUCUAAUCUUUGUUCUAUGACAAAUGAAAAAACCUAAGUUAUCUGGUGUUUUGGAGAUUUGAGAAUACAGCAGGUGAAGAGAAUUAGCUUAAAUUCCCUCCUCCCUUUUGAUAAAUCCACAGGGAUUCCUUCACUCUGUCAGGAAAUGGUGUGGUUUCCAAGCAUUAGCCCUUCAUGAUCUGUCUGGUGCAUUUCUGUGCUCCUGGGAUCGCCAAGUGCAGGCACGGCAUCGCAUCCCCAGGUGUCAUCCUGUGACCCAGGAGGGGAAGAUGACACACCCAAUUUAGGUAAUGCUGCACUUCUUGUUAUAAUUGGUUAUUGGAAAAUGUGCCUUUAUUAUCAGAACAGUGGUGUGCGCAUUUCUGAUUAUGGAGCUAACUUUUGGAUAUCUGACUUAGAUACUAAAAACAUUUGGGUGUUGCAGUUUUGCACUUGUAGAUACAACUUAAAAGCAUGAAACUGGUGAUUUAAUUAGAUGUUUUCUAUAAAAUGCACCUUGUUACAUUUCUGUGAAAGGGUCUUACCAGCGUGGAAUAACUGGCUCAAGGGUUGAGAGAAACAACCAUUUUCUAAACAGUUAAUUGUUUAAAGGACUAUACAUGUAAGUCUGCAGGCAAUAAAGGCUGUUGUGAAAAGUA